UAAAGUAAUGCAAUAAGUUAAUCGGACAAAGAUUUCAAAUUAUAAGCACAUCAAUCAUAAGCAAUGUCACGAGCUGCAGUUGGACGGAACGCUAUAAAUUACUGUUUUUCUCUAGGCCGGAUGAGCAUUGAUCUAAACAGCACAUUCCGAGGUAACUCAUACCGGAUUCCAGCAUCCCCUAAAAAAACCGUUUUUGCUCGUUUCCGGGUUUCACAUUUUGGAGUUAUUGAGCAUUCCAGGUCUGUGAGCAGGCUCUUUGCUUUUGGCCCAGUGGCUACAUGACGUUGAGGAGAUUGGCGACGCGAAGUCUGCGAUUCAAAACCAAGCGAACUUCUUUCCACAUCAUCGCAAAACAAUACAAAAUCUGGUGUUUGAACAGGAAAUGUCAAGUAACCGUAAAUUUAAUAGGGCUUAUCUCAGUAAACCCUGUACCGUUCUGGGGGAAGGUGUGAAGAUGACAUGUGUAACCGGUAUGUUCAGUCCAUUUCUAUACAUCCUUCUUCUGCAUCGUAUAUUGCAGGUAUUUCUGUAAAGCACGUGUACACAUGUUGGGACAAGAAUCGUUCAGCACAAUAUAAAUACUUGUAUUCCGUGAGAGAGGCCAGUUUACCGCCUACCACUUGAUACCACGGGCAGCUUGUUCAAAUUAUAUUUUCCCCUCAAAAAAAUUGUGAAUGUCGUACUUUGGUUACCUUAUCUUUCUUGCUGAACAAAAGCUUUGUUCAGAGAAGGUUAUGGGAAGAGUCGAUGGGGCUGUUUACAACUACAAAGGGUUUCGAGUAAUGAAAUGACACUUGUGGCUGGAGAGAGACUCCGUGGCCAGAGGGCACAGAUACAGGGUGAGCGGCGUGAAAACAAAGGAACAAAUGACUCCGCACCACCUUAGGAAUUGGGAUUGGAAUUUACUGUCAAGUAAUGUGAUGGAAAAUUAAUUCAAGAGGGAUUGGAUUACCAACCCAUGCUUAAAAUUUUAUAGUCCAUCUAUAUUCCUUCAAGGCUAGAAAUAUAAAUUAAAUUACUCUUCACAAAACUACAAGUUAUUACACCCACACUUUCAAAAAUUUAUAUAAAAAUUACAUUUCAGCAUUACUUUACCAGGAAAGUCAAAUCAGACCAAUUACUUUUCAUGUAGGGUUUAAUAAAUUGUGGCAAGCAAUAUAAACUAGAUGGUAAUAUAUUGGAUUUUGGGGUGUAUAUGAAAUAAUUUCAUGCAGCUGUGUCUUAAUGGAACACUUUACGGUGAAUGCCUCAUCUGCUAAGUGUGUGGCAAGGCAUACAUGGAGUGACUUUUCCUUGUCAUUGUUUAAGAUGGUUUACUUUAAAAAGUGUUCCAAAUGAAGAUCUCUUGUUUCUUAGAUUUAUCUAAACUGUUGAAUAAAAUUAUUGAAAUUCUGUAUAAACCACAUUAAUAGGAAACAAUUAGAUGCAGAAUCUAAAUAAAAAUAAGAAUAUAUAUACACUGCAGGAAGAGCUUAGCCAGACGGGCAGCAUUUGUAGAAAUAGAAACCAGUCAAUCUCCCAGGUUGAGGACCCUGAAAUAAGGAAAGCAGCAGCCGGGGAGGGCUUUCUUUCUGCAGACAUUGUUUCACUGGCUGAGUUAUCCAAUGUUCUGUACUUGACCGACAUUAAUUGCCACUACCAUUAAAAAUAUAGGUAGACGUUAAUAAAGCAGAAAAAUGGGUGUGUAACUGAUACAUUAACGUAGAUAAGCAUGAGAUUUUGGUUAUGAAAUUUCCGUGAGUUUUGAAGUGUAAGAAUAAAACAGAAGGACAAACAGGUUUGGGAAUCACUGCCUCUCCUUUUCAGUGACCUAGGCUACAUCCACGCUGCGCCGGAUAAAUCCGUAACCUAAGUUUUUUCGCUUCAUUUUUACCCUCUGUCCACAGUAAAACGGCAUUUUCAUCCCCCGAAACCAGAGCUUUUCAGAAACGCUUUCCAGAGUGGGUAUUUUCAGGCAGGUCAGUGUGGACGGGGUAACCAGAGAAAUCAGAAAACGCUGUCAGACAGCAGCACGCUAUUUCAUUGUUUUCUUGAAUGUAUGCUAACAAUUUCAGAACAGACGGCAACAAGACUGAAGCCAGAAGAGUUAGAAAUGUACUCACCAAAUACUUUGACCCAUAACUUAAUAAAUAAGUAUACUGUACUCACUUUGCCCUGUUUUCUGGCCUUGCUCGUAUAAAGGUGGUUUACCUAUUCAUGCAAGCACUUCUCUUGACAAUAGAUGUGUAACAGCCUAAUGUAACAUUGUAUGGAAAUACAAGAUAAUACUGAUGCAGACAUGUUUUACACAUUUAACAAGAUGCUUUAUUAAUGCAACAAAGUUAGUCAGUUUUUCAGUGUUCGUCGUCAGCCGGGUCAAUCUGUCCGUGAACUCCCUGGCGGUUGCCUCCAUAUGCUCCAGUAUUUGUUUUUUUUACUUUUAAAUUCUCCUGCAUGAGAGCCAACAGCUGCCCAUUGUUUAAGUUUUUCUAGUCUGUAACUGAACAAACACGCACCAUCUUUCACGGUGAGAUUCAACACCAAACAUGUCAUUUGUUUGUGGUAGAUGUGUCCUGCACAUGCGCAGUAGGAGGAGAUUCAACGAAAUCUCCGUUUCAAUGUGGACAGAGAUAUUUUUUAAAAUGCAUAGUGCCUAUCAUUUUACGUGAAACUGGUGUUUUCAAAAUUAUCCGGUCUAGUGUGGAUGUAGCCCCAGUUUGAAUCCUAACCUCCGGAGCUAUUGUCAGGAAUUUGCAUAUUUUCCCUGUGACUGCAUGGGUUUCCUCAGACACUGUGAAGAAAUCCCACAUCCCAAAGUCAUGUGGAUUGGUAGGUAAGUUGGUCAUUGUAUGUGCUCAAUGAUUCAUCUGAUGAAGGUAAGCAUUCCAUACGCCUUCUACUGUCUACGUGUGCUACCUUCAGGGAGCAAUAUCAAUAUCAAUGCUGAUAAAACACUAUAUCCUUUCCCAUUAUAUUAACCACCCAAAUUGCAGCACCUCAUAUUUCAAAGUUCAAAGUAAAUUUAUUAUCAAAAUAUAUAACAUAUAUGUCACAAUAUACUACCUUGAGAUAUGUUUUCUUGCAGGCAUUCACAGUAGAACAAAGAAAUAAAUAGAAAAACUACACACAAACAAAGACUGACAAACAACCAAUGUGCAUAAGAAGUCAAAUUGUGCUAAUAAAUAUAUAAUAUUGAGAACGUGACUUGUAGAGUCCUUGAAAGCGAGUCCAUAGGUUAUGGAAUCAGUUCUGUGUUGAAGUGAGUGAAGUUAUCCCCUCUGGUUCAAGAGCCUGAUGAUGAGGGUAUUGAUGAUAGAUGCUACUUCCUUGUAGUAGUGCUCCUUAUAGAUGUGAUUAAUGGUGGGGAGCACUUUGUCAGUGAUGGACUAGGCUGUGUCCACCAUUUUUUAAAUUGGCUUUUCCAUUCUUGGUCUUUGGUGUUUCCAUACCAGGCUGUGAUGUGUGAGGCGCUGUCAUGUCCGCCUUGCGGUGUCACUUAUGCUGGUGCCAGGACAGAUCCUCUGAUAUAAUAACACCACUGAAUUUAAAGUUACCAGCUCUCUCCAAAAAGCAAAAUUAAAUAUGGCCCUGGAGUCUGAAUUAUAAAGCAAGUAGAGCAGAGGCCUAUGCACACAGCCUCGUGGUGCACCUAUGCUGAUAGUGAUUCUGGAGGAGACGUUGCCAAUCUGUCCUGAUUAAAGUCUGCAAGUGAGAAAAUCAAGGAUCCAGUUGCACAAGGAUGUACUGUAGCGAUGUACUACAUACAGAGCUAGAAACAAGUGGGUCGCCACAGUACUACGGUCCAGGUGUUGGACUUUAGUGAUUAGUUUCAAAGGGAUGAUAGUGCUGAACGCUGAGUUGUCGUCAAUGGAGAGCAGCCUAUGUUGUAUACAUCUUCACUGUCCAGAUGUUCCAGAGCUGAGUGAAGAGCCAAUAAGCAAAGAGCAUCUGCUCUUGACCUGUUGUGAUCGUAGGCAAACUGGAAUGGAUUCAAGUUGCUCCUCAUGCAGGAGUUGAUGUGCUUUAUGACCAACCUUUCCAAACACUUCAUCAUAGUGGAUGUAAGUGCAACUAGAUGAUAAUCAUUGAGGCAGGUUACCCCAUUCUUCUUGGGCAUUGGUAUAAUUGAGGCCUGCUUGAAGCAAGUGGGUAGCAGACUGCUGAAGUGAGAGGUUAAAGUUAUUGGUGAGUAAUCCACCCAGUUGAUUAGCACGUCUUUAGUACUUGGCCAGAUUACCCAUCUGAACCAGAUGUUUUCCAUGGGUUUACCCUCCUGAAUGAUGCUCUUAAGUUGGCCUCAAAGACUCAGAUCGUUGGGGGCUGUGGGAGUUCAUUAAGGUUCCUCCAUGUUCUGUUGGUCAAAGAGAGCAUCUGGCAGUGAAACCUUGUUGUCAUUUAUGUUGCUUGGUUUUGCUUCAUAGGGGAUGAUGGCAUUCAAGCCCUGCCAUAGCUUUCAAGCAUCUUUCUGUGAUUCAAAUUUGUCUACAAUUGCCACUUCAUGUGAGAUUUAUGGAGGUCAUACCUGGACAACUUGUACUUUUUUGGAUCACCAGUGCCGAACGCUACUGAUCUAGAAUCAUCCAGGUUCAUCCAGGGGUUCAGGUUAGGGAAGGGUGAAUGAUUUUGUAGGGACACAGUCAUCAAGUCCAAGACAACUGUGGUGUGUUUCUUCAGGUCACCUGAUGAGCCCAGUCCAUUGACUUGAAGCAACCUUGUAGCUAUUCCUCUGCCUCCUGUAGCCCAUAUCAGAUUAAACUCCAUCCAUGUCUGCAGCUGAUCUACAUACUGCUUUGACACCCACUUCAUUAUUUUCAUUUACAUCCAAGUCAUUUGUGUAUUUUAUUCAUUCUUCAAAACCUACAGAUUCCAGAGGGAGUGUCUCACAGUGCAGUUUUGCAAACAAUAAGCUAGUCUGUGCAGAAAUCUUGAAGCAUUCCCAACUUUCUGUAAAUUUCUACAACUUUAACCAGCUUUAAAAAAUAUCAAACACUUGCAGAGUAAACUAUCAGAAGAAAUCAGCAACUAACCUGCAUGUCACAAUUAAUCUAUUUAAAGAGCAUAUGGGUGGCUCUUUCCUGUUGCUGAAUGCUGUUCUUAGUCAAACGUUUUUAAGAGAAGAUGAGUAAUUUGAGUAAUCUGCUGGUAUUGAAUCAAUUUGCAAGCAGUUACAAUCCACUUAUCCUGCAGGUAUUAGCUGUACAUUCACAAAUGAUGGGUACAAUCAACUGGAAUUUCACACUGCUUUCUGAAAAUUAAAAAUGCUGUAGAAAUUCUGGAGAAGGUACAAAAGAUAUUUAUUAGAGUGGCUUAUCAGAACAAUGAUUUACCGGGAAAGAUUAAACAUUUCCAAAGGAGUGAGACAAGAAUUGAUAAAGGAUUAGAUGUUUCAAUUUGUGUUUAGAGAAGAGAUGGGGUUUAUGUUAGGAGUCAAUAAUACAACAUAGUCAUUAAAACCAACAGAAAGUUCAAGAGAAUGUGAAUGUUGCUACCUCAGGUAAAAGCUGUGACACAUAUAAUAGCUGUAUACAUAUGUAUAUAUAUAUUUAGAAAAAUGUUUUAUAUUUAUUAUUUAUGCUUAAUUGCUAUUGAAUGUUAGAAUAUUGUUAAGAGUCAGAUAUAUAGAGAGGUCUGAGUAAUAAGUAAGAAAUGCAAACACAAAUAUGGAGAUGGGUAUCCAUGAAGAACAGUUGGAAAAAGCACAUGAGACUGGAAUUUCUGGGCUCUGCAAGUACUAAGUAAUGCUGUAACAAUAAUGGUAGGCAGAAAAAAUGUAUUUGUCUAGACAGACCUAAUGUCAGAUCAAAUAAUAAGAGUCAUGCCACAGUAAUUAUACUAAGUGGCACAGCAUUCCGUUUCUUAUUUACAGCCUUACUGAUGCUCUUCAUUUAAUCAGCAGUGACGAACUUGAGUAGGCACGUGAAUUCAAGUCCGAGGUCUGUCAGAGGCACAGGCCCUAAAAGAUAUCAUUUCAAAAUGCAAAAAUGAACAUUAAAUUUUUAUUAUGAAUGCUGUGACUUUGAAUGAGUCACACAGAGACGGUGGAUGUAAACAACGACAAGUAGGAAUUCUGGACGGUUCUCUCUGACUCAUACGAUGAGGAUUUAUGGAGACACAAGGCACUGUGAAUACAGGAAUUUUGAGCAUAAGAUAAAUACUAACAAUCGGCCAAGACCAAGUCCAGACUAAGCUUGUGCUUUACGGAGCAAUCUGUCCACAGCAGCCAUCUUGAGCUUCUGUUUACAUGUUAUUUCUCAUCCCCAUUCCCAAAAUGACCUGUCUAUCUUCAGUCUUCUCCACUGCCAUGGCAAAGCCAAAUGCAAACUAGAACAACAGCUGUGUGGGUAGUUUACAGCUUAAUGGUAUAAACUGAUCCUUUUCAGUUUCAGUUAGCCCACUCUGUCCUAAAUAUACUUCCCUGAAUCUUGUUAUGUCCCCUAGUUCUAGUCUCACCUACCAGUGGAAACAACUUUUUUGCCUCUAUCUUAUCUCUCCCUUUCAUAAUUGUGUAUGUUUCUAUAAAAUCUCUCAUUCUUAUGAAGUCCAGUGAGUACAGUCCCAGGUGAUUCAAUCUCUCCUCAUAGUCUAACCCCCUCAUCUCUGGAAUCAACCUGGUGAACCUCCUCUACUGCCUCCAUCCUUCUUAACUCCAUUCUCCCACUUUAUUCUAUUUGCCCAUCAAUCCUACCUCCAAUUUCCUUCCAGACUCUGUCUCACCCAUUCCUCACACUCCUAUAUAUUGGCGAUGAGAGGGCUUACAGGAGUGAAGUAUAUCGGUUGGUUGAGUGGUAUCAUAACAAUACCGUCAUACUCGGUAUCAACAAGACCAAUUGGCGACUUCAGGAAGGGGAAGUUGGGAGAAGGUGUGAGAGGCCAGUACAGACCAGGUGAGCAGCUUCUACUUUCUGCCUCUUGGAGGAUAUAUCGUGAGCCCAGUGUAUUGAAGCAAGCAUGAAAAGGGUACGCCAGCAGCUCCAUUUCAUUAGGAGUUUGAGGAGAUUUGGUAUGUCAUUGCAGACUGUUUUGGGGAGAAUGUUCUGACUGGUUGCUUCACAGCCUGGCACGCAGCCUCCAAUGCACAGGAUCACAAAAGGCUGUACAGGGUUGUGGGCUUGGGCAGUUCCACCACAGACACAAGCCUCCCUACCAUCAGAUACCAGCAAAGGACUUUGCCUCAAGAAGGCAGUGUCCAUCAUUAAGGAUCCUCAUCAUCUGGGACAUGCCCUCUUCUCACUACUACCAUCAGGAAGGAGGUACAGGAGCCUGGAAACCUACUUUCAACGAUUCAGUAAUUUGUUCCCCUUUUAUACCAGGUUUCUGAACUUUACAUGAGCACUAUCUGGUUUAUUUUUGUACGACUUAUUAUUACUAAUAAAUUGUUAUGUAUUAUAGAUUUUUAUGUCUUUGUACUGUACUACUGCCGUAAAUGAGAAAUUUCACAUCAUGUCAGUGAGAAAUCUGCUUCGGAUUCCAGUUGACUGUUGUCCCAGUACAUUUUGGUGUUCAGGAUCACAAUCAGACCCGAAACUUUAACCAUCCCUUUUCCUCCACAGAUAAUGUUCAACUCGAUGUUCCUUCUGCAGAUGAAGUUUUAUACUCUUUAAGCAGGUGAUUAGGUUCAGUUUAAAUAUUAGAAUCAGAUAGUUUACUUCAACAUUUUGGGUGUACAUAGGUAAUACUGUUAAAUUUAUGUAGAUCUUAUGGACUACUACAUGUUUCCAAUGGGAGUACAUUUUAACUGGCAAGAUGCCUUUGCAUACAGCUGUGGAUAGUUCAGCGGGCUCUGAGCACAACACCUAGACACAAAAAUAGUUCUUCAUCAAGGGGUCGUUCCUGAUAUAUAAAGAGCUCAAAUAAUGAUGCCCAGCACUGAUAUAGUUUUAACAAUGGGUUAAAUUACAGGAUGACCAUUUAAUCCCUUCCCUGAUCUCAUCCUGGGAAGCUUCAAUGUGGGCUGAUUAACAAACAUUCAUCUAUUGUUUCAACCUGCAUAAUUUACAAUUGUGUAAAACCAGAAUGUCCCACGCCCAAUGGCAAGUUUCAAUGUCCUGGAUGUUACGUGUGAACAGUUUUGUUUUGAAGACUGGUCCUUAUUUAUAUUAAAGGCAGCUUUCCACAUUAUCCCUGAUUAAAAUUGACAUCAAGUCCCUAACAGAAUAUCAAAUUCUUGCAAUUCAUCAAUUAGAAAAGAUUUUCAGCAUGUAUUUUUGUUUUUAUUAUUCAUGGCUGCUCAAUUUUAUUGGCAGCCUUUGAGCUGCAUUUCAACCUGGUUAACUUUGAUGGUUAAAUUCUCAAAGGCACAUUUCUAAUCUUCACCAUGAUGACUUAUUGCUGUUUUGUAGGCAUGAUUUUUUUUUGUCAUGCAAGAAAAACAUGCAACUGAAGUGUAAAAUCUGAGAUUUCACACAAUUUGAUAUAUUCUGCUGCUUGUCAUGGUUUGUAUUAUGGUUAGCAUUUAAAUUUGAUUGUAGUCAGUAGACUUCCCUUGCUUUUUUAUAUUCAAGCUAAUAAAGAGCAUACUAUAGUUCAUUUGAACAAGAUUCUAGGUUCUGCUCACAGAGUGAUUUAGCACAAGUAGAUAAGUAACACACAUAAAACGCUGGAGGUACUUAACAUCUGCAGAGGGAAAUAAACAGUGAAUGUUUAGGACAGAGACCCUUCAUCAGGAUGUUUCAGUCUGAUAAGUCAACUGCCUUUUCCCCUCCGUAGAUAGUGUCUGACCUACUGUGUUCCUCCAGCAUUUUGUGCAUAUUGUCCAGGGUUUCCAGCAUCUGUAGAAACCUUGUCUCAGAAGAAUGCAAGGUUACUUGCAUUGAUCAGUUGUAGGUGAGAAUGUUUCACAAAUAAACCCCUUUACAAAGAAACUGCUUACUUUUUUUUAUUUUUAAUGACAAAUGCCGUUUCAAAGUUCAGAGUAAAUUCAUAUAUGUCGCAAUAUGCAAACCUGAGAUAAAAAACCAUAACAAAAUCAAUGAGAAAUGCACUAACUUCAGCGUUCAACCAGUGUACAAAAGUCAACAAACUGUUUACAAAAAGGAAUAAUGAAUAAAUAAGGAAUACAUAUAAAAGAAGCAAUUAUACAGUAAUGGGGACUCCACCCAAUCGAGUAGGAAUAUGAGAAAAAGCAGCGAUUUCAUUUAGGUCCGCAGAUGAAGUUUUAGAAAAAGACACUACUUUGCGGCAGUUUUCAGAGUUAGACUGCGACCAAUCACUGAACAGGAUUCAUUAGUAAAGGCAAAUAAGAUAAGGCAAGGGAAAGCAGAGCAGGCAUUUUGUGAGUGGGCCAGUGUUGGAGUGGCUUUGGCUCAUCAGGAUUGGGGAAGGUAAGUUUUUUUCCCUCUUUAUUUUUCCUUCCUCAUCUGUUAGUGCACAGUGAAUGCAGUGAGAAUGGCUCCAGCUGUGCUUUGUUCCGUGUGUGAGAUUUGGCAAUCCUGGGAGACCUCUAGUCUCCCUCAUCUGCACCAUGUGCACUGGGCUGCUUCUCAGAGAAUAUGUUGAAGAACUGGAGCUGCAACUUGACUCAUACAGGAGAUUGAGAAAGUGAUAAGAUAGAAGCUAUAGGUAGAUAGUCACUCCUAGGUUGUAGAAGGUAGGGAACUGGGUGACUGUCAGGAA